AUUGAACGCUGGCGGCAGGCCUAACACAUGCAAGUCGAACGAGUGGCGGGCGGGUGAGUAAUGUCUGGGAAACUGCCUGAUGGAGGGGGAUAACUACUGGAAACGGUAGCUAAUACCGCAUACCAUCGGAUGUGCCCAUAUGGGAUUAGCUAGUAGGUGGGGUAACGGCUCACCUAGGCGACGAUCCCUAGCUGGUCUGAGAGGAUGACCAGCCACACUGGAACUGAGACACGGUCCAGACUCCUACGGGAGGAAGCAGUGGGGAAUAUUGCACAAUGGGCGCAAGCCUGAUGCAGCCAUGCCGCGUGUGUGAAGAAGGUCUUCGGAUUGUAAAGUACUUUAAGUUUGGAGGCGUUACCAACAGAAGAAGCACCGGCUAACUCCGUGCCAGCAGCCGCGGUAAUUC
rnacentral:rRNA from 1 species